rnacentral:rRNA from 1 species
AAUCAACGCUGGCGGCGUGCCUCAGACAUGCAAGUCGAACGCGAAAUUUCCCUUCGGGGAGAAAGUAGAGUGGCGCACGGGUGAGUAACACGUAGGUAAUUUGCCUUUGGGUGGGGAAUAACUCAGGGAAACUUGAGCUAAUACCGCAUAAUGCAGCGGCUCGACAUCGAGACAGUUGUUAAAGCGGGGGAUCGCAAGACCUCGCGCCUAAAGAGAAGCCUGCGGCAGAUUAGCUAGUUGGUAGGGUAAUGGCCUACCAAGGCAACGAUCUGUAACCGGCCUGAGAGGGCGGUCGGUCACACUGACACUGACAUACGGGUCAGACUCCUACGGGAGGCAGCA